rnacentral:rRNA from 1 species
AGCCCGCUCAGAAACUACAAAGGAAUUGACGGGGCCCGCACAAGCGGUGGAGCAUGUGGUUUAAUUCGAUGAUACGCGAGGAACCUUACCUGGGCUCAAAUGUAUGUUGACGUAUUCUGAAAGGGAUACUUCUUCGGACAAUAUACAAGGUGCUGCAUGGUUGUCGUCAGCUCGUGCCGUGAGGUGCCGGGUUAAGUCCCAUAACGAGCGCAACCCCUAUCAUUAGUUGCCAUCAGGUCAAGCUGGGGACUCUAAUGAAACUGCCUACGCAAGUAGUGAGGAAGGUGGGGAUGACGUCAAAUCAGCACGGCCCUUACGUCCAGGGCUACACACGUGCUACAAUGGCCGGUACAAAGGGCAGCUACCUGGUGACAGGAUGCUAAUCUCAAAAGCCGGUCUCAGUUCGGAUCGGAGUCUGCAACCCGACUCCGUGAGGCUGGAAUCGCUAGUAAUCGCGCAUCAGCCAUGGCGCGGUGAAUACGUUCCCGGGCCUU